UUUCUUGUAUUUAUUUAUAAGGCACGCAAACGCAGCUGUGGAGUGAGCUGAGCUGAUUCAACAAGCAGCAACACUCUCUUUUUCUUUUUCUUUUUCUUCUUCUUCUUCUUCUUCUACGACGAAUGAGUGAAAUGACGGUGCCUCUUUGAGUAGCCACAUGAAGAGCUUAUGCUAAUCUCUUAGUUGGCUUAGUUAGGAGGCCAACAAUAAACUUAAGGCCUUUUGAGUGGACUCUUGUGCUUUCCGUCAACUGUCCUCCAAGCAGCCUUUAACAUCUCUCUCCCUUCUUCAAUUUCACUACUCAAUUCCUGGAAAUCUUUUAUUGGGGUGCUCAAUUAAUUUGAUGGAAGCCUCUCGAAUAACUGAAUGGAUGAUACCCUUAACCAUUUGGUUCAGACAGGGGCGCACAGUAAACUGAAUCUGUUUGAGGGCUAUGGCUUAUGAAAGUGCGGAAAAGCUGAGUGGAUGUCUAUUGCAAAGAGAUGCACAGUGGAACAUGCAACUGCUUAAUAAGAGAUGUUGGAGCAUCCCUUUUUUAGCGGGGAAAUUAUUUAAAAAUUGUGAAAAAAAAAGGAAAUUAAAGAAUUGCCGUGGAUUUGGAGGAUUUAAAAAAUUGAGUGGCACCGCGUUUUUAUACCGGUGCCUAAAUUUUUCUAUAAAAAAAAAUAAAAAUUAUAUGUAUUUUAAAAAUAAAUGAAAGUAGAUUGUUAAUUUUUUAUAUAAGAUAAUAAUUUAUACAUUGAAAGUAUUACAAGAAUUAUUUGCAUUUUUUUUUUAAAUUUUAAAUUUGGCUUCGAGUUUCAAUCAAAGGGUUUCAAUAUUGUCGUAAACUUAUCGUAUAGUUUGUUGUAUUUUUUUAAAAUUAUAUAAAUAAUAUACAUUAUUACAUUUAUAUAUUUUAUUGUAUUUUUAAAAUUAAUUAAAUAUAAUUAAUUUAUAAAAAAAUAUAAUUUGUGAAUUGGGCCAAUUUGGCCCAAUUCACAAAUAUUAAUUGCAAUUCACAAUGUGAAUUGCAAUUGCAAUUGAAACCAAAUCAAAAUAUGCAAUUAAAUAAAAGCAGCCACCGCGGUCAAUGCUUAAAAAAUUAACUUUUCUUUUUUAUAAAUUUUGUCUUCGCUGUUUGUGACUGCGGCGAUAUAUAAUUUUUAUUUUUUUUAAUAAAAAAAUUGAGGCACCGCAGUUUAAAAAUGCGGUUCCACUCAAUUUUUUAAAUCCCUCAAAUCCGUUGUAAUUCUUUAACUUUUCUUUUUUUUUUUUCACAAUUUUUAAAUAAUUUCCCCCUUUUUAGCUUGCAGGAUAUUCUAGGAAGGGAGGUUCUAGAGUGCCUCAUAUCAUGUCAUAUUCUGUUUGUAAGGACGUGAAUUGGUCUCUCCAAUAGUUCAACAGAUGAAAUCGCGGAGC